rnacentral:rRNA from 1 species
UCGGGAAGAACACCAGUGGCGAAGGCGCUCUGCUGGGCCAUUACUGACGCUCAUGGACGAAAGCCAGGGGAGCGAAAGGGAUUAGAUACCCCUGUAGUCCUGGCCGUAAACGAUGAACACUAGGUGUCGGGGGAAUCGACCCCUUCGGUGUCGUAGCUAACGCGUUAAGUGUUCCGCCUGGGGAGUACGCACGCAAGUGUGAAACUCAAAGGAAUUGACGGGGGCCCGCACAAGCGGUGGAGUAUGUGGUUUAAUUCGAUGCAACGCGAAGAACCUUACCAGGGUUUGACAUCCUGCGAACCUCUUAGAAAUUUGAGGGUGCCUUCGGGAAUGCAGUGACAGGUGGUGCAUGGCUGUCGUCAGCUCGUGUCGUGAGAUGUUGGGUUAAGUCCCGCAACGAGCGCAACCCACGUUUUUAGUUGCCAGCAUUUAGUUGGGCACUCUAGAAAGACCGCCGGUGAUAAACCGGAGGAAGGUGUGGAUGACGUCAAGUCAUCAUGCCCCUUACACCCUGGGCUACACACGUACUACAAUGCUACGGACAAAGGGCAGCAAACUCGCGAGAGCUAGCAACUCCCAUAAACCGUGGCUCAGUUCAGAUCGUAGGCUGCAACUCGCCUACGUGAAGUAGGAAUCGCUAGUAAUCGCAGGUCAGCAUACUGCGGUGAAUACGUUCCCGGGCCUUGUACACACCGCCCGUCACACCAUGGAAGUUGGCCAUGCCCGAAGUCGUUACUCCA